rnacentral:rRNA from 1 species
GACGAACGCUGGCGGCGCGCCUAACACAUGCAAGUCGAACGAGCGAGAGAGAGCUUGCUUUCUUGAGCGAGUGGCGAACGGGUGAGUAACGCGUGAGGAACCUGCCUCAAAGAGGGGGACAACAGUUGGAAACGACUGCUAAUACCGCAUAAGCCCACGACCCGGCAUCGGGUUGAGGGAAAAGGAGCAAUCCGCUUUGAGAUGGCCUCGCGUCCGAUUAGCUAGUUGGUGAGGUAACGGCCCACCAAGGCGACGAUCGGUAGCCGGACUGAGAGGUUGAACGGCCACAUUGGGACUGAGACACGGCCCAGACUCCUACGGGAGGCAGCAGUGGGGAAUAUUGCACAAUGGGGGAAACCCUGAUGCAGCGACGCCGGGUGGAGGAAGAAGGUCUUCGGAUUGUAAACUCCUGUUGUUGAGGAAGAUAAUGACGGUACUCAACAAGGAAGUGACGGCUAACUACGUG